CUCGCUGAAACUGAAACAGAGAACUGAAAACUGGCGCUGCCGGAAAACAGGAACACUGUAGCAGCCGGAAAAGCACUGUAGUUGCCGGAAAAAUUCAAAGUUGUCGGAAUUGAAAAAUAAUAAUAUGGAUAGGCUCGGAAUUUAAGGUUGAGCAAACUGUCGUGAAGAAAUUCUGGCCGGAAAGUACUGUAGCUGCCGGAAAAGUCAAUAAAGUCGCCGGAAAAA
rnacentral:lncRNA from 1 species